rnacentral:rRNA from 1 species
GAUGAACGCUGGCGGCGUGCCUAAUACAUGCAAGUCGAGCGAACGGACGAGAAGCUUGCUUCUCUGAUGUUAGCGGCGGACGGGUGAGUAACACGUGGAUAACCUACCUAUAAGACUGGGAUAACUUCGGGAAACCGUAGCUAAUACCGGAUAAUAUUUUGAACCGCAUGGUUCAAAAGUGAAAGACGGUCUUGCUGUCACUUAUAGAUGGAUCCGCGCUGCAUUAGCUAGUUGGUAAGGUAACGGCUUACCAAGGCAACGAUGCAUAGCCGACCUGAGAGGGUGAUCGGCCACACUGGAGCUGAGACACGGUCCAGACUCCUACGGGACGCAGCAGUAGCGAAUCUGCCGCAAUGGGCGAAAGCCUGACGGAGCAACGCCGCGUGAGUGAUGGAGGUCUUCGGAUCGUAAAACUCUGUUAUUAGGGAAGAACAUAUGUGUAAGUAACUGUGCACAUCUUGACGGUACCUAAUCAGAAAGCCACGGCUAACUACGUG